CUUCAUGUUGCCUAAUAUUCCAUGCAUUUUUCUUUCUUUCCGCAUCCCCACCUUACCUCUUCUAAAAGUGCUAUACAACUCUCCCUCUCUCAUGCAAAUCCUAAUGCCCCUCCUCUCUAUAAAUACACAUUAAAGCCUUCUCCAUAGGAACAUACGCUCCCCUUGUGGGGAUCAUCUCCUCUCUCUCCCUCUUUCUCUCCUC
rnacentral:lncRNA from 1 species